AUGUACUCUUGAGCAGAGACCGGCGGUAAUGAACUGAUCCAAGGAAUGAGCUAAGAAUCACGCCUAACUGGGAAAUGGGAAAUUACUAGUGCGUGUUGAGUGGGAAGUACCUGAGGAACGGUGGGAAACUGCUGUUAAAAGGUGUCAAAAGAAAUUUGCUUGGAAAUUACAAAAGAGGAAGUGACAAGGAAAUAGGGGGCAAGACCAGACUGACCACUACAACUCGCCACCGAGAAGAAUAUAAAACACCUGCUGUGAGCUGCAACCUCAUAGGCAGGAUUGGUGGGGGUGUAAGCCAUACUGGACCCCUAUUAUUCCUUCUUCUGUCACUUAUCCUUCUCCCUUUUGGGACACCAGCAAAGCCAUGUUACAAAUGCUAUCAAAAGCUUUACAUGGAAUGACACCGGGGUUUCUUUCUUAUUACCCACACCAGUAUCAAUAAUCACUGCUAUAACCCAUCCAAAUUAAGUACCUGUAUGCAUAAAGGGAAAAUAUUAGACCACAGAAAAUCUAGGAACAAGUAGUAACAGAUUAGAAAACAACUGCCCAAAAAA